rnacentral:rRNA from 1 species
GGGGAAUUUUCCGCAAUGGGCGAAAGCCUGACGGAGCAAUACCGCGUGUGGGAGGAAGGCCCUUGGGUCGUAAACCACUUUUCUUAGGGAAGAAUAACUGACGGUACCUAAGGAAUAAGCCUCGGCUAACUCCGUGCCAGCAGCCGCGGUAAUACGGAGGAGGCAAGCGUUAUCCGGAAUUAUUGGGCGUAAAGAGUCCGUAGGUGGUCAUUCAAGUCUGCUGUUAAAGACAGAAGCUCAACUUCUGAUAGGCAGUGGAAACUGAAAGACUAGAGUAUGGUAGGGGUAGAGGGAAUUCCCAGUGUAGCGGUGAAAUGCGUAGAGAUUGGGAAGAACACCGGUGGCGAAAGCGCUCUACUGGGCCAAAACUGU